AGUUCCAUAGUGUAACGGUUACCAUGUCUGACUCUGACUCAGAAGAUUCUGGUUCGAAUCCAGAUGGAACUACAA
rnacentral:tRNA from 1 species